GUGUUAUCCGGAAUCACUGGGCGUAAAGCGUCUGUAGGUGGUUUAGUAAGUCUAUUGUUAAAUCUUGAGGCUCAACUUCAAAUCAGCGAUGGAAACUGCUAGACUAGAGUGUGGUAGAGGUAAGAGGAAUUUCCAGUGGAGCGGUGAAAUGCGUGGAUAUUGGAAAGAACACCGAUGGCGAAGGCAUCUUACUGGGCCAUAACUGACACUCAGAGACGAAAGCUAGGGUAGCAAAUGGGAUUAGAUACCCCAGUAGUCCUAGCAGUAAACGAUGGAUACUAGAUGUUGCCCGUAUCAACCCGUGCAGUGUCAAAGCUAACGCGUUAAGUAUCCCGCCUGGGAAGUAUGCACGCAAGUGUGAAACUCAAAGGAAUUGACGGGGGCCCGCACAAGCGGUGGAGCAUGUGGUUUAAUUUGAUGCAACGCGAAGAACCUUACCAGGGUUUGACAUGACAUGAAUUUUUCUGAGAAGAAAAAGUGCCUUUUAGGAACAUGUACACAGGUGGUGCAUGGCUGUCGUCAGCUCGUGUCGUGAGAUGUUGGGUUAAGUCCCGCAACGAGCGCAACCCUUGUUUUUAGUUAUUUUUCUAGAAAGACUGCCGGUUAUAAGCCGGAGGAAGGCGGGGACGACGUCAAGUCAGCAUGCCCCUUAUACCCUGGGCUACACACGUGCUACAUUGGGUAAGACAAUGAGUCGCGAGCCUGUGAAGGUCAGCAAAUCUAUAAACUUACUCUAAGUUCGGAUUGUAGGCUGCAA
rnacentral:rRNA from 1 species